AUAAGAUAUAAGGGGAUGUAAUCUUUUAAAUGCUAGAGAAAAAGUAUAGAGAGGUAAUACAGAGGAACCGUUGUAAACAGUCUAAAGACAUUUCUGAAUGCCAGGUUCAUGCCCCUACCCUCAAUUGUUGUUCGUGGUGUCGUCGAUGAGAUGCGCUCUUACUAAUGAUGUGCAUAUUCCCAUCGUUAUCAGCUGACAUGGUCAGAGCCUAUCUUGUUGUGGUUGAUGGAUCCACUAGUGUGGAUAAGAAAAUGCCUCCCAGGUUGAUGGUGGUGCUGCCGUCCUUCUCCCUCCACCAGUCCACCGCCGCCACCACCUCUUGGUCUCUAAUCUCUGAUGGAAAAGAGAUAGAUCUGCUUUCUUCAAAUGGUAGUAUUGCUACAUGGUCGUGAGGAGAAAAAUGCUCUGGCCCUUAUACUGUGACUAUACAUCGUAACUUUCUAUUCAUCUUAGAGUACGAAGUCAUAUAU
rnacentral:lncRNA from 7 species